rnacentral:misc_RNA from 1 species
AAGUCGUAACAAGGUUUUCGUAGGUGAACCUGCGUAAGGAUCAUUAACGAGCAAGCCAUUUUUUGGCAAGCUGUUUAAGCAAUAUUCAAGUCCCUGAGACCACGUGCUGGCUUAGGGCGGCUUCAUUUGAAGCGACAACGGAGUUGGAUUGGAGCAAUUGCGCUGUUAGUGUUCCAGGUUCAAGGCUGGGUGCCCAUUCUUGGCUUUUUGCUGGGACUGUAUCCACUGGAGAUGCAGUGGGCUGUAAAGUUGGCGUUCACUGGCGUUGACGCCCGGCCAAAGCUCAAAUGAGCUUGUUUU